rnacentral:rRNA from 1 species
AUUGUCUGUACUGGUGAGAUGAGUCUCUACCUUCUGAGGAACUUUCAUGCCAUUUAUUUGGUGUGGUUGGAAAUCAGGACUGUUACUUUGAAAAAAUUAGAGUGUUUAAAGCAGGCUAACGUCUGAAUACAUUAGCAUGGAAUAAUGAAAUAGGACGGAUUGAUUCUAUUUCGUUGGUUUCUAGGGUCACCGUAAUGAUUAAUAGGGAUAGUUGGGGGCAUUAGUAUUCAAUUGUCAGAGGUGAAAUUCUUGGAUUUAUUGAAGACUAACUACUGCGAAAGCAUUUGCCAAGGAUGUUUUUAUUAAUCAAGAACGAAAGUUAGGGGAUCGAAGACGAUCAGAUACCGUCGUAGUCUUAACCAUAAACUAUGCCGACUAGGGAUCGGAUGAUGUUAAUUUUUUAAUGACUCAUUCGGCGCCUUACG